AUUGAACGCUGGCGGCAUGCCUUACACAUGCAAGUCGAACGGCAGCGCGGGAGCAAUCCUGGCGGCGAGUGGCGAACGGGUGAGUAAUACAUCGGAACGUGCCCGAUCGUGGGGGAUAACGAAGCGAAAGCUUUGCUAAUACCGCAUACGAUCUACGGAUGAAAGCAGGGGACCGCAAGGCCUUGCGCGAACGGAGCGGCCGAUGGCAGAUUAGGUAGUUGGUGGGAUAAAGGCCUACCAAGCCGACGAUCUGUAGCUGGUCUGAGAGGACGACCAGCCACACUGGGACUGAGACACGGCCCAGACUCCUACGGGAGGCAGCAGUGGGGAAUUUUGGACAAUGGGCGCAAGCCUGAUCCAGCAAUGCCGCGUGCAGGAAGAAGGCCUUCGGGUUGUAAACUGCUUUUGUACGGAACGAAACGGUCUGGGUUAAUACCCUGGGCUAAUGACGGUACCGUAAGAAUAAGCACCGGCUAACUACGUGCCAGCCGCCGCAGUAAAAC
rnacentral:rRNA from 1 species